rnacentral:rRNA from 1 species
AGGACGAACGCUGGCGGCGUGCUUAACACAUGCAAGUCGAGCGGAAAGGCCCUUCGGGGUACUCGAGCGGCGAACGGGUGAGUAACACGUGAGUAAUCUGCCCCUAGCUCUGGGAUAGCUCCGGGAAACCGGGAUUAAUACCGGAUACGACCACUUUAGACAUCUGUUGUGGUGGAAAGAAUUUUGGCUAGGGAUGAGCUCGCGGCCUAUCAGCUUGUUGGUGGGGUAACGGCCUACCAAGGCGACGACGGGUAGCCGGCCUGAGAGGGCGACCGGCCACGACUGGGACUGAGACACGGCCCAGACUCCUACGGGAGGCAGCAGUGGGGAAUAUUGCGCAAUGGGCGAAAGCCUGACGCAGCGACGCCGCGUGGGGGAUGACGCCUUUCGGGGUGUAAACCGCUUUUCCCAAGGACGAGGAUGGACGGUACUUGGGGAAUAAGUCUCGGCUAACUACGUGCCAGCAGCCGC